rnacentral:lncRNA from 1 species
CCUUUCUCUGUUCAUACUCCACUGAUUCUCUCUCUCACUAGGCUCAAAUUCUGCCUUUCAGCAGCCAAGGGGUAUGGGGAAUAAAUCCUGAAUGCAGACAAGGUGUGCUUAAGAUCAGGAGUCUCAGUCUCCAGGAUGAACCAAGAAGCUGGAUACCCUGGCUGAAGUCUGCCAAGGCUCAGGAGCACAGCAGCAUGCCAGAUCCUCCCUGGAUUUGAGCAUAACAGCCUGAUAGAAAUCAGAGGGACUGCCAUCUGCACUUAUCAAGACAGUUGUGGACUUUCUUUGAAGCUAGGAGAUGGCCCAGGUGCAUGUUUUGAAGCAGGUGCCUGAGGUCACUGGAAUUGUGACAGAGCAUACAAAUUAUUACAAGUUUUGGUGGCUAGCUUCUUCAGCUAAUGGAUGACACAGAGAAAUACCUGAAUCUAUCAUAUGUCUGUGAGGACCAAAUUCCUAGAUUGCAAGACCAGCCUAAUUCUUUGCUCUGCUGGAAGUCAUCUUAAGAGGCUGCUUGACAUGGGUCUCAGGAAUGCCUUGUGGAACUUCAGCACUCAGCUCUUACUCCAUCAUCACCGCCUUGCAGAGAUGCUGCAUCUGGGAGUCCAUCUAAGUGAGAGGCUGGUUCACUUUGAACACUGGUGUGAAGCUAGGCUACACUUACUUUCUGGAGCUCUUUAGCAUUAUCACGAGUAGCUACUGUGUAGGCAGCACGAGCAGCAGCAUUCUGUGGGGUGGAUUGCACAUAUCUUGGAAGUGUAAAUUGUGCUAGUAGCACUGCGUUACUGAGCCAUAGACCUGAAAAAACCUGUGAAGAUACAUAACCUAGCAAAAGCAGUAAGCCAGACAGGAUUCAAAAUCAGUUAUCAAAGCAAACAUCCCUGAAAGCUUAAUACCAAGCAUCAAAGUCAUGCUAGAAAAUACAAAUUCUGGGAAAGCAGAGCUUGCCAGUCCUGUCCAUAUCCCACUUCUGACUAAUUAGGAAAGAACUGACAGUAAAAAUAGGAAAGUCUUGCACCACUCAUUUCAGCAUAUGUGAAUCCAAGAUAUUCUGUUCCAGAUUAAAAAAAAAAAAAAAAAAGAAAAAAGAUUUUUUAGAAUUAUUAUUUACAUGUAAUUACAAUGCUAAAAUAGAUCCUGGAAAACAGAGACAUCAAAGAUGCUAGGAAAAGUAGAUGCCUGGAGAAAAAGAAAGUGCCUAUGAAAAGGUCUGAAUGUUGGUCUCUGUCUCAGUACAGAGUUGAACUUCCCACCACCACCUCUCCAUGCACCAGGCAGCAGGGAGCAUGGGGUAUAACAGUGCAAUCUCUGAAUGGCAACCCCCAAGAAUUCCUCCAGAGAUGAUCCAAUGUGUGUGAAGAAGACCCACCUGACAGGAAUGAUGGUGAUCAAUCCCAACCAUGUGCUAGAAACUGCAGGGAAUGACAAUAAGAAAUGGAAGAUGCCACCUUCCACAGCAAGAACAACAUAAGAACUGCAAAGAGAACCCAAUACAUUCUCCAUAAGUGCUUUGUUUGCUCUGCAAAGAAAUUUUGCAUUACCUAGUUUGCCACUGGAGGUAAUAGUUGUGAACCUUACCAAAGGGGAGGAAAAUAAUGCUCUUGCUCCAGAGAUGCAAAGUGUAGCUGCUGUCCAGGUGAAAGCACUGUACCAAAUACUUCAAGGAGCCAGGGAAAACCCC